UCUACAACGAUUUUAGCGACGUUUUUUUAAACUAACAAAACGUAUACAAUUUCAAACCAUACACGUACGACCUUCACUGAUACUCGACUGCUACGACUGUAUAUUACCUACGGACUAACCGACAACACUAACGAGCAAUAUAGAAUAAACACUCGAACAACUAAUCGGUUUUGACUACCUCUGAUCUGAAGUAUGGUUCUAAGGCAGGGGUGGCUAAACGGUCGAUCGGGAUCCACCGGUAGAUCACGGACG